CUUUCAGCCUUUUGAUUGAUUGAAGGGAGUUUGUUUUAGCAGAACAUAUAAAAGUGACAGAAAGCACUCUUAAAAGCCUCUGACUGUGUAAACUUGUGGACGUAUUUAUGUGGACAAACUUUCCUAUUGAAAGCCUUGCUGUGGACAGCCCUGAGUAAAUUUCUUUUACAUUUUUUUCUACUGUGCAUUCUGUGGCUUUCUUGCUCCCUCUUGUGGCCCAGUUCAAUCCAGACUUCUCAAAAAGAGUUUUAUUUUUACAGGCACCUUGUUUUGUAGACACAAUUGUGUUUCCGUUGUAUUUUUCUGAAAGACCAUUCUCACUGAAUUCUAAUGUUUGGCUCCGGCUGAUUUAUUUAUUUUUGCAGGCACCUAACAUUUAAUCACAGGAUUAUUGGAAAGAGCCAUGUUCAAACAGUCAUACACCAGUGGAAACCAGCAAACACAGAUGCACACCAGUGAAGCGUGUCCGAUGUCACCCUAAUCUCCUCCUCAUCUUUGCUCAUUCUCUUCUACGACCUUUCAUGCUUUGCUAUAUUAUGACACACACACUUUUGAUGCAAAACAAACACACGUCUAUCUCCAAAACAGAACUAAAUACUCAUUGAUUGGAUCCUUUCACAAAAUCAUUCCUUUGGCACCAAAACAGAUCAUCUCUCACCUAAUACCUUCUUGUUUCCACAAUGCAGCCGCUUAACAGAAAGCACAGAAUGAGAAUGAGGCAGCAGAGGAGAAGCUUAAUGUGUCCCCGCGGGUCACAGGUGACUGAUUCUGCCAAGCAGGACACGCUCUUGGAUUCACCUCAGUGUCACCGUGUCAGUAUUCUCAAAAUACAAGCGCCGGUCCUUUCCUGAUGGAUCUGCAGUGAGGAAACCGUGUCAGAAAGCUGCCAGGCAGCCAAACAGGUGCUCGGCACAACCCUCAGUCCUCACAGACUUCCCCGCUGUUGUGUAUUUAUAUACAGUUGACUCGAGAACCACAUCCGCCCACCUUCCCCCUGUCUGUCUCUCAGAUCCAAGAUCUUAUCAGCUGCUUGAAACUGAAGUGUUAGACUGCUGCCUGCACAGACUUUAAGUCCAGAUAAGAGAUGUAGACAUUUCAGAUUAGUGCUGACAGAGUUCAACAAAAAUCAAGUGCUUCUACCCAACAGGACACUAGGGCAAGUCUGUGGAGAUGUGUUCCUGACAAAUAAACAGCUUGUAAAUUGAGAUGUUAAUGAAUGGAGUCAUGUGGAUUGCUGUGAUGUUUUUAUCUGCUGUUUGGACUCUCAUUCUGACGGCACCCAUUCACUGCAGAGGAGCCAUUGGUGGUGAGCAAGUGAUGAAAUGAUAAGUUUCCCCAAAUCUCUUCCGAUGAAAAAACAAACAAUUUUUAGAUGGCCAUUUUUAUUUUUUUGGAGUGCUGAUUGAGUAAGUCAUGUUUUAUUUGAACAGAAGCCACAACAAACAGAACAGUUCGUCUCCAUCAAAGCAACAAACAAACCACUUCAGGUUUUUUAGUUGAGUUUAUUUUGCACAAGCAUAAAAUAAAUACAAUAAAAACAAAAUACAGCUUAAUAUUUUAACUGUGUUUGCCAAGCAGUGUUAUACAAUUAUAAUGCAUAUAAUGCACGUAGUUAUAUUGCUAUAGUUUUCUGCUUUUCAGAACUUUUACAGUUAUGAUAUGAUAGUUAAGAUCAUAUAAAAUGUGAAUGUAAAAACUGAAUGUGUGAAGUAUUAAUGUUCGUAGUCCUCCUCCCUCGUCUGGGAAGUUGCGGCUCUCAUCAGUAAGUCAAGGAGGACAGCGGGGCCAGAGGCCAGUCUGAGGGACGCUGUUAAUAUAUUUUACUCUAAGCCUUUUCAACACCAGGAUUUAUAUUGUAUUAAAACCAGUCCUGACACACUGAGGUUGCUUCUCUCCCAGCUUCAACCUUGAGAGCAAUGGCAUUGUCCCUCUCCCACAGCUCUCUCGAGGGACAGAAAAAAAAGGACGUAUUAAGAGGAGUGAGAGGUGUAGAUGGACUGCCAUCAUGUGGCCCUGCUGCCCACUGCUUCUGCAGAGAGAGGAGAAACUGACCCACAGACGCUCACCUUCUGCAUGGCGGGUAGUGCAGCGAUGCUACCAUGUUUUACAUUUACAUUGAAUCAUUUAGCAGACUCUUUUAUCCAAAGCGACUUACUAAUGUGGACAUUAGAAGCAAUCAAAACAACAAAAGGUCAAGUCAAGUCACCUUUACUGUUUUUAUUCAUAUCAUUAUGCUUUAUUUGCUCUGUUUUAUUCUGUGAAAUCUUACUACGUAUAUACAUAUAUUUUGCAUAUACAUUUAAAGUAAACAUAUUUUGAAUUUGAUUUUAUUUGCAUAUUUUCAGUUUCCAUUUUAAUAACUGUUUUUUUAUUCAUUUCUAUUUAGGUUUUAUUUAUUUUAUUUAGAUUUUAUUAAUUUAAGUAUUUAGUAAAUUGUAGUACUCGGUUAAUUUCAGUUUAUAUGCAUGUAUGCAUACUCUAUAUAUAUUUCAUAUCUUUUAAUGUAUUUCAUUCAAAUAUAUCAUCACUGAACAGUACCUCUUCAGAGUUUGUCAGUCAAUCAGAUUUAACAGCUUGUCCUGUUGGCUACAUUGCAUGCAGCUCCUUAGGAUAAGAUGUAUUUUCUUGCUAUUAUUUCUUGAUAUACAACCUUGAUAUACAAGUCUUAUCUUAGAUUUGAACCGCAAAAUAUGACUUCUUUUGCCAUGGUGCUGUUGAUUCAGCAGCAUGAAAUAAAUUUAUCCCAGGGUAAAAUAUGAACCUUGUAUCCAUGUGAACCUAUAUGCCAAACUCUUACUGUAUGCUAACGUAUUACUGCUUCUUUGUCAAAAAAAAAAGGUACAAAUAAAAAUAUAGUUCUUUU
ensembl:lncRNA